GACGAACGCUGGCGGCGUGCUUAACACAUGCAAGUCGAACGGAAAGGCCCUGCUUUUGUGGGGUGCUCGAGUCGCGAACGGGUGAGUAACACGUGAGUAACCUGCCCUUGACUUUGGGAUAACUUCAGGAAACUGGGGCUAAUACCGGAUAGGAGCUCCUGCUGCAUGGUGGGGGUUGGAACGUUUCGGCGGUUGGGGAUGGACUCGGGGCUUAUCAGCUUGUUGGUGGGGUAGUGGCUUACCAAGGCUUUGACGGGUAGCCGGCAUGAGAGGGUGAACGGCCACAUUGGGACUGAGAUACGGCGCAGACGGGUACGGGAGGCAGCAGUGGGGAAUAUUGCACAGUGGGCGGAAGCGUGAUGCAGAAACGCCGCGUGUGGGAUGACGGCCUUCGGGUGGUAAACCGCUUUCGCCUGUGACGAAGCGGGAGUGACGGUAAUGGGUAAAGAAGCACCGGCUAACUACGUG
rnacentral:rRNA from 1 species